GACGGAGGGUGCAAGCGUUGUUCRGAUUGACUGGGCGUAAAGGGCGUGUAGGCGGUCGGYCAAGUCYGMUGUGAAAGCCCGGGGCUCASCYCCGGAAGKGCRKCGGAAACUARCCGGCUGGAGCGCGAUAGAGGAGGGUGGAAUUCCUGGUGUAGCGGUGAAAUGCGUAGAUAUCAGGAGGAACACCGGCGGCGAAGGCGGCCCUCUGGAUCGUUGCUGACGCUGAGACGCGAAAGCGUGGGGAGCAAACAGGAUUAGAUACCCUGGUAGUCCACGCUGUAAACUAUGGGUACUAGGUGUUYGGGGUAUUGACCCCCUGAGUGCCGCAGCUAACGCAUUAAGUACCCCGCCUGGGGACUACGGCCGCAAGGUUAAAACUCAAAG
rnacentral:rRNA from 1 species